rnacentral:rRNA from 1 species
AUUGAACGCUGGCGGCAGGCCUGAUACAUGCAAGUCGAACGAUACUUUCCAGCUUGCUGGAGAGGAAAGUGGCGCACGGGUGCGUAACGCGUAUGCAACCUACCUUCAUCAGGGGGAUAGCCCGGAGAAAUCCGGAUUAAUACCGCAUAAAAUCACAGGAUGGCAUUAUCCAAUGAUCAAACAUUUAUGGGAUGGAGAUGGGCAUGUGUGUCAUUAGCUAGUUGGCGGGGUAACGGCCCACCAAGGCGACGAUGACUAGGGGAUCUGAGAGGAUGGCCCCCCACACUGGUACUGAGACACGGACCAGACUCCUACGGGAGGCAGCAGUGAGGAAUAUUGGUCAAUGGAGGCAACUCUGAACCAGCCAUGCCGCGUGCAGGAAGACUGCCCUAUGGGUUGUAAACUGCUUUUAUCCGGGAAUAAACCUCAUUACGAGUAAUGAGCUGAAUGUACCGGAAGAAUAAGGAUCGGCUAACUCCGUGCCAGCCGCCGCGGUAAUAC